CUACGGAGGAGACUAGCGUUGUUCGGAUUUACUGGGCGUAAAGCGCGCGUAGGCGGUCUGGAAAGUCAGAUGUGAAAUCCCAGGGCUCAACCCUGGAACUGCAUUUGAAACUAUCAGACUAGAGAUUGGGAGAGGUAAGUGGAAUUCCGAGUGUAGAGGUGAAAUUCGUAGAUAUUCGGAGGAACACCAGAGGCGAAGGCGACUUACUGGACCAAUACUGACGCUGAGGUGCGAAAGCGUGGGGAGCAAACAGGAUUAGAAACCCUAGUAGUCC
rnacentral:rRNA from 1 species